ACGCCGGCGACUGGUUGCGUUCCCAUUGCCCCGCGCGCACGCGCAGCGCCGACUUGCUGUGGCCCAGGCUGGGCGUGCGUGAGGCGGCCGCAGCCCGCGGGGAAACGCGUCUCCAAAGCACGUAGCGGCUGUGGGACUUUCACCGGGUUUGCACAUUCGUUCCGUCUUUCCUUUAACACCCCCCUCCCCCUUAACAUAUAUGAGGUGUUAACACAUUUACGCAUAUACACAUACACCCCUCCCUCCCCCCCUUAAUACAUAGGGCGGGUUAACACACACGCACACAUAUAUACACACGCCCCUUAGCAUACAGGAUGAUUUAAUUUCAUCUGGCUGCUGGGCUCUAGCCCUUCAAGCACCUUUCCUUCACUUUUGCACAUUUUUCUCUGCAAGCCCCAGGGUUAGGACCUGUGGUUUUCCUCCAAAGGCAGCCUGGGUCCCCCUGCAUCUGCUUUCUACCGGCUGAGAUUUUACAAAAACACCAAUACAUGACAGGCCCCUCCAUGAGAUCGAGAGGAAGCCUUUAACAUCCAACUUUCCACUGAGGUUUGAACCUUUAUAUCCCAGAGAGGCUUGGCUGUGUAUUUUCUUUCUCAUGAACUGCAGCUCACUUCUGUUCUGAAUAUUCGCCCUCAAUGUCCAGGCACAAACCCUUCUGUCACUGGUGUGCUCUUCUCAACCAGGGUGCCCCAAAAUCCUGUUCAGGGUGCCAUGAGGAGUCAGAAAAUAAGCAGGCUUAAAGCUCUUCCCUGCCUGACUGUUCCCCUCACCCCCACUGCACAGCCCCUCUGCAGGGCAAGAAACAGCACUGGAAUAAAUCCGUUCCUUUUUCAACAGGAUGCCACUCCAUUCACAAGAGUUAUGGAGCGGUGCCUCCAGUCUAAAGACGGGUAUCCUGAGUCUAAACAAGUGGAGAAGCACUGCUCUAGGGCCAUGUUAGAGAUUCAGUUGACUUGGUGCAAGCCCUAGUUAGCCUGCAGGUGUGUCAGUAUAAAGGUACUUACAUGGAUUGGUAUGGCUUGUUUCUGCAGCCUCAUCUCAGUGUAAACAUCUUUAUAUUGACAAGAAUGCGUUUAGAUCACAGUUUGCUCCAAUUGAGCAAAACCUGUUCUUCUACCUGUCAUGACCCAAAGGUCUGAUUUUUUGUGUGUGCUUCGGCACUAAGAAUUAUCCCCGUGGGUUUACAGCUUCAUUGCACGGAGGAGUUCUGCUGUGCAGAGAACCCGCGUGCAAAGGAGUGUUCCCGCCACUUUGCAGCUAUCUUUGCAGGGUACAUUUCCCUUUGCAACACAGAAAUGCACGGUGCAAAGAGUUCCUGCUCGUCGUAUGCAAAUUCGUGCCCCGCAAUUGGCUAGUUCUAAAUUAUUCACACGUGGCGGCUAGCGAUUGGCCUGCUAGCCGUAUAAGAGGCUUGAGCAGUUUCUGCCCAAGCUGAAGAGGACUCUGCAUCCAUCUCGUGGGAACUCUGGGUGUGCGCGGCAGGGUAAUAGAAACCCUGUGUGUUGCCCAGAGGAGUUUGGCGGCCUGAUCCACUGCCCACCUCUUCCCGUCUUCGAACAGAGCCUACUAUAAGACGUACCGACGAGUUUUAUGCGCGCUUGUCCUGGACAUCCAGAGUUCUGUCUGCGUGGAGCCUAGCAAACUCCACGUGAUUGUUCGUGUUUUGUCUGCGUGGAGCCUAGCAAACUCCACGUGUGUUCGUGUUCUCUGUUGUAACCGCAACUCAAGCAAGUUCUCAGCCUGCGCCGCGACCAUCUCGGUAUGGCUGCUAAGGUAUGCAAAGUGUUCAACAUUCUUCAGCUCCUGUCUGUCAAUGAGGAUCUUUGCCAAAGAAGUUGAUUGCCUGGAGCAGGCUGGUGAAGCACCUUUGUUUUUCCGAUGUUAAGGGCCAGUCCCAAGCACUGGUAUGCUUGACAGAAGCAGUUAAGGGCCAUAUUUAGGUCCUCCUCCAUAUGCACAACAACAGCACAAUCAUCAGUGUACUGAAUUUCUAUAACUGAGGCCAAAAUAACUUUGGUUUUGGCAUGGAGGCAAGAGAGAUUGAAACGGUUCCCGUCCAUUCUAUAUUCAAUGCAGAUGCCAUGUGGCAGACAAUCUUGGAUGAGCAUCUUGCUGACUACAAGAAAGAUGGAAAACAAAACUGAUGCAGUCACGCAAUCCUGCUUGAUGCCAAUUCAAAUGGCAAAGGGCUCCAUAGCGGAGCCACUGCAUAGGGUGGACGUAGUCAUCUGGUCAUGAAUGAGUCUUAGGAUGGUAAUAAAUUUCCCUGGGCAGCCAAACUUUGAUAAGCUCUUCCAUAGACACUCAUGGUUAACAGAACCAAAGACUUUGUCAAAUCAAUAAAGGCUAUAUACAGUUCCUGAUGUUGACCUGUAUCAGCUGGGCCACAAAAAAUCAUGUUCACAGUGCCUCUUGAUGGUCUGAAGCUUCACUGAGACUUGAGAAGGAUUUCUUCAGUCAGAGAGAUCAGUCCGUUCAGCAGAGUUCAAGCGAAGAUAUUCCCAGCGAUGGAGAGGAGGGCAAUACCUAGAUAUUUUCCACAGACAGAUUUAUCUCCCUUUUUAAAAAUGGUGACAAUAUUGGCAUUCCUUAGGUCAGCGGGAGUUUCCUCAGUGUUCCACAUUUUGAGAAACAGCGUGUGGAGCCUGUUGGUCUUAGUUUCCUUAUGAACUUUAAAGACCUCAGCUGGUUUGCCAUCAAGGCCAGAUGCUUUAUUGUUCUUCAUCUAUUUUAUCACCUGUUGGACUUCUUCAGAGACUGGUGGACUGGCAAAUGCUUCCCUUACUGGAUGCUCUGGGAUGGAAUUGAUGGUUUCACCAGUCACUGUUGAUUCUUGGUUCUGGAAUUUUUGGUAAUGCUCUUUCCUUUUGGUAGUGGUUUUUCAUGGACUCAUUGCCUUUGAGUAGUACUGCCACCUUCAAGUCCACAAGAGCUUGAUCUGUACACAUCCUUGACUGCACUGAAGAAGCUCCUCAUUUCAUGACUGUCAACAAAUUGUUGGAUUUUUCACCUUCUCUUCCCACCAUUUGUUUUUGAUUUAUUUAAUUUUCUUCUGGGCUUCAGCUUUAAGCCACUGAAAAGCUUCUUGCUUCUGACUGGAUAUAGGAUGGUUUUGCCAGUAUUACCAGAUUUGCCCAUCA